rnacentral:rRNA from 1 species
AUGCACGCUGGCGGCGUGCCUCAUACAUGCAAGUCGAGCGAACGGACGAGAAGCUUGCUUCUCUGAUGUUAGCGGCGGACGGGUGAGUAACACGUGGAUAACCUACCUAUAAGACUGGGAUAACUUCGGGAAACCGGAGCUAAUACCGGAUAAUAUUUUGAACCGCAUGGUUCAAAAGUGAAAGACGGUCUUGCUGUCACUUAUAGAUGGAUCCGCGUUGCAUUAGCUAGUUGGUAAGGUAACGGCUUACCAAGGCAACGAUGCAUAGCCGACCUGAGAGGGUGAUCGGCCACACUGGAACUGAGACACGGUCCAGACUCCUACGGGAGGCAGCAGUAGGGAAUCUUCCGCAAUGGGCGAAAGCCUGACGGAGCAACGCCGCGUGAGUGAUGAAGGUCUUCGGAUCGUAAAACUCUGUUAUUAGGGAAGAACAUAUGUGUAAGUAACUGUGCACAUCUUGACGGUACCUAAUCAGAAAGCCACGGCUAACUACGUG